GGUCAACCAGCUUCGCAAUGCGAAGCUUUGCGCAACUUAGUGCAAACCUCCCGCAUUUUUUUUACUCAUGAUUCAUAUAUGCCACAUAAGGCUUUUACCUUAAACUUUUCGAAUUGGAACACAACGGCGCGUUGGAGCUGCGAAGGCAGUGUUUCAGCUGAGCGACACAUUGAAGAGGAGCCGUAGUGGUGGCGUUUUCACUCAGGCGUUCGACGCCCAGCUUUGGAUGGUACACGUUUAUCCACAUCGUUUGGGGCCCUCAUCGUUGUUAAGUAGCGAUUGGUUAGUGUAGGUACCAUAAUGGCGUCCUAAAGCAUAGGGAGGUUUCGGGGGCUAGGCAGACGGGUAGGGAGCGGAUCAGGCCAGAAGACCAAAACCCCGCAGACAUGUGGGUCAAAGAGCUUGGGCACAGCGCAAGGGCAACAACCAAGUGGAAUCGUAAUGCUCGAAGGCUACGGCCACGCAAAAGGGCGCCCCCUCCAAGACUAAAAAAAAAAA
rnacentral:lncRNA from 1 species